rnacentral:lncRNA from 1 species
AAAUUAAGAGCCAACACUAUCCACAACCCCUCCAUACGAUCCCCAUCCGAUUCUCGAGCUCGAUUCCCAACUUCACUCCUCGGGCCCUAAAUCGGGUAUACCUACAAACAUACAACACCUAUAUGAGUCUUUGAGGACUCAAUGAGAAUCUUGAAGUAAUAUCGAAUACACAUAGCACAUAGAGCAUACAUAUAUCUAUAUAUAUAUAUACAUACAUAUAUCUUAUACAUGAACAUACAACAUGAAGUAAAACAAUCAUAUACUUCCCUUUUUCGUCGGCGAUCUUCAUUCACAUAAUUGUCACCACGCAUAGAGUGAGAUAAUUCCCACCUUUAUAACCCUAUGAUCCCAAGACCAUAGAGUGAGAAUAUCCCACCUUUAUAACCCUAUGCCAUGACACGUAUUGAAGAAUAUAGAAGGAGUUUUCCACCUUUAUAACCCUACGGUCCCAAGACCAUAGAGUGAGAUUUUCCCACCUAUAUCAACAACACCGAAAUGCACAUGCAUGACAUGAAAAAUUGUCGGGAAUCCCUCGGAAGAGCCAAUCUAAGUUACCGGUAAAAAUCACCAUAUAUUUCGAUCCAUGUCUAACUACGUGGGAUCAAACCACCCCUAGGCCCUACGGUACCAGGCUCGCCGUACCCGAGAAAUUUACCGUAACUUCGAAAGACUUUCCAACAUAGUUUUAUCUUUUUGAAAAUUCAUGACACUUUAUGCACCCACCCAUGCACCCUUCUACUUACCCUUCUCUCAUCCUCACACCCAAUGAUUCACAUAAGCAAGCAAGAGCACAUAGGAGCACAUAGAAAACACAUACAAAGUUUCACAAAAUCAUUUAGCCAUAAAAACAUAGAAAUAACCGAAACCUUAACAUGCAAAAACAAUCUAACAACAAAGUUCACUAGAUCUAGUAUUUUACAAGAAUAAAAUUCAAGACUUUCAUCUUCACUUUUAUUCAAGCAAAUACACUAGAUCUUCACAUGCAAGAGUAUUUUAAAUCGAAUUAGCACAACUCUUAGUUCUUAAACCAUUUUCAUAGAAAACACUAGAUCUUAACAUGCAAGACUUUAGAUCAACCAUUAAUCACUAGAUCUUAUCAUGCAAGACCUUAAAUCAACAAUUAAUCUCCAAUCUUAACAUGCAAGACCUUAAAACAACAAUCAAUCACAAGAUCAACACAUACAAAGUAGCAAUCAAACCAAAUAAACCAUUUUAAGCAUUUUACCUCAAAAAUUCGAAAGUUCUUUAGUCAAGUCAAAAAUUCAUUUUCUCUUCAAAAAUCAACAAUCAAACACUAGAUUAACACAUGCAAGACACUAAUUAAACCAAAUAAGCCUUUUAAAACAUUUUUUCCCCAAAAAUCCGAAAGUUUCAUGGCUAGGCCAAAAAUUCAUCUUCUUUUCAAAAAUCAACAAUCAAACACUAGAUCAACACAUGCAAAGUACUAAUUAAGCAAAAUAAGCCAUUUAAAACAUUUUUCCCCAAUUUUUCGAAAAAUCAUAAAUUUUCAAGAAUAAAGCUAUCUUUUCAAAAUACUAACAUGCAAUCAUCAUCUAAAACUCAUAAUCACAUAAUAUGCAAGAAUCAACAAUAAAAACACAUAAAAACACAUAAAAACCGAAAAUACUAGUGGUGUUGUAGGUUUGAGCAAGAAUUCAAGAAUUCUCACCUAUACUCUUUAGGGGAAGGGCUUGUUAGCUCUUUUCUCUUCCUAAGCUUGGCCGAAAAUUCUCCUCUUGUUGAAAUAGAAGGAGACUUUGAACUUAAGUAUUGUAAGAGUGGAGUUUGAGAGUGAGUUUUGAUCUUGGGCAUGAGUGGUAUUUAUAGA